CCCUAGGAUAGAGUCAAUCCUUAUCCAAUUAGGAACAUUAGACACGAGGGGAGGGAUUUCACCCCUCUUUCUUUACUUUCUAUUGUUGUAUUAUUUAUUGUUCCAACGUGUUAUGUGUUAUUUGUUGAACUAACCUUCCCUUGUUUUCUCUUUUCUGCAUAAACAAACUUUAGAAAUAAGAGUUCUGGCAUGAUACUCGUUUAGGACAAGACAGCCUUUCAUAUCAAGCACGUUUAAAUUUUAAUUAAUUGCAUACGCAUAUAUAUUGCACAUCAUUUUAGGCUUACCCCGGCAUUUAAAUGGGGCACUUUUAGAUCAUAUGUCAAUUAUUUCAUUGCAUAUUUAACCGUUUUAAUAAAUUGGCAUCAUACAUCAACUUUAGAGGGAAUGCCGCAUAGGGGAUCCCACGUUAAGAAUAAGCCACCUUUUGUCUCGGAUAUAUAAUCCAAUGAGAUUUGCACGUUUAUAUUUUUUGUACCAUCCAAAGGGGUAGUGCACAAGGUAAGGUAGGAUCCGAUCAUUUUUUCAUAACACGAUUUUUGGAAUAUGAGCACCUAACAAUCAUCUUUUGGCCAUUUUAACAUAUUUGAUAAAAUCCCCUUGCGCAAAGGGUAUUAAUUUGGAGAAGUUCACAAAUAAUUUCACAUUGUUGAGACGAUAAAUAUAAUCGAGGCCAAAUCUUGAUUUUAGAAGGCUCAUAGACUGAUGCAUCGCAAUGAAUUUUUUGAAACUAUCAAUAGGUAGCCAAUUCAAUAAACUCUCAUUUCCAUUCAAUUCAUUUAAUCAAAUUAUCCAUCAAAUUCAUCCAAUCUAUUUGGUCAAUUCAUUCAUUUUUAGGACAAUUCGAUCAAUUUUGAAUAAAUUGUCAUUUUCAUUUAUUUGACCAAUUUAUCCCUUUUUAGGGUGAUUCAAUCAAUUUUGAAUAAAUUAAAUUUCAUUCAAUUCAUUUGAUUAGUUUGCCUAUUUUUAAGGUGAUCUAGUCAAUUUUGAAAUAAAUCAUUAAUUUCAUUCAAUUCAUUUGACCAAUUUACCCCUUUUUAGGGUGGUCCAGCCAAUUUUUGAAUAGAUCCUCAAUUUCAUUCAAUCAAUUUGAUCUGUUCAUUCACUUUUAGGAUAAUUCAGUCAAUUUUGAAUAAAUCGUCAAUUUCAUCCAAUCAAUUUUACCAGUUUAUUCAUUUUUUAGGACAAUCCAACCAAUUUUUGAAUAAAUCCUCAAUUUCAUUCAAUCCAUUUGAUCCGUUCAUUUACUUUUAGGAUAAUUCAGCCAAUUUUGAAUAAAUCAUCAAUUCCACCCAAUUCGUUAUUCUUUUUAGGACAAUUCAAUCAAUUUUUUAAUAAAUCAUCAAUUUCAUUCGAUCCAUUUGACCAGUUUUAUCCACUUUUAGGAUAAUCCAAUCAAUUUUUGAACUAACCAUCAAUUUCAUUCGAUUCAUUUAACCCAUUUAUUCUCUUUUAAAGUUUCGAUCUAUGGUUCACCGAAGAAACUAGUCAAGACAUUUCAAUCCUUUCAAAAAAUAAGUUUUUCACACUAAAUUGAUUUUUAAUAUCACUUUAUAUGUCAAUCAAAAUAAUCAAUCCAUUCGAAUUUUGUCCUCAUUUUGUUAGUUAUCUAUUAUUUUCGAAAAAAAAGAUCCAUUUAGUCCAUUUUUUUUUCAAAUGCUCUUCAAUUGAAUCUCAAUAAGUCGAUCGGAUCCAUCAGGUAUUGUAUGGUGCCUACCCCAGAGGAUUGCAUUUUUCAUGUUAGGCCAACCCUUGGCAUAAAAGGGCUCUCCCAUAGGACAUGCAUACCAAUUUUACAGUUUUGAUUACUAACUCUGGGUAUUUUUCUUUUAAUUUUUCCCCCUCCCCUGCAUUUAUAAAAGUUGUUUUAAUAAGGUAAAAAUAUUUUUCCUAUAUCUGAUAAUAUUUUUUGAUCUGAUAAAUUUUGAAAAUUACAAGUGUUACUUGAUUUUGGACAGAUCCUACAAUGAAAAAAAAAUGAUGAAUGAAAAAUUUCAUCUGUAAAUGCCAAUCUAAAGUAUCUCAAAAAUCUCUUGAUUCAUUGUUUCUAAUACAUUUUGUCUCAAAAGAUAGAAAGAGAAAGUGUGUAUAUAUUUGAAAAUAUAUUCUUUGGAGAUUUUUACUUUCUCAUAUAUAUUAUAUUUGAGCAAAAAAAAAAAGAAUUUUUGAACAAUAAAGUUUUUAUUUAGACAAUUAUUAUUUUGUAUAUAUAUUCAUUCUUUAUUUGCUUAUUGGGAGAUUUCAUGAUGAAUCCUAAGAAAUAAGAUUAAAUUGAGAUUUUUCGACCUCUUGUUCUAAAAUUCAUGAGUGUAUGUCCAAUCCCCAAAAUUCUUUGCAUACACUAGAUUUGUGGUCUAAACUAUUCAAUGGGGAUAGUCGGAAAUAAAAGGGUCAUUCAAAUUUGAUAGCUUGUCAUAAAAGAUCAACCCUAACACUUUUCAUUUUCAUUUUUUGUCCACUUCUAUUGAACCUCCAAGAUCAGUCGCAUUGGUUGACUAGCUUCAAAGUGAGAUAAUUUUUUUCAUGAAAAUGUCUGGUGUGUCUAAUCAGAUUCAAUCCACAUCUGAGUGAAAGCAAAAAUGUACAUUACUGCUUAUUUUGUUUUGAAAAUUUGGAAUGAUACUUUAGGCUUUCGUUUCUCUAUCUAUACAGAUGCUAUCAUUUGUUUUCCCAUUUGAGCCUUUAAAAAUAGAAUUUCGUUUCAAAUAAAAUCCUAAAUGAUCAUGACCCUCCAUGGAAAAUUUUUCGAAUGUCAAAUGGAAAUGGAUUUUUCCAACGGGUUAUUCUUUACUUUGGUUGUCAUGAGAAAUAAGAAUGAUGCUUUGGCCAUCGUUUCUACCAUCUAAACACUUUUAUCCUUUGCAUCCUCAUUUGAGCCUAAAUUGGUGGUUCGUUUCAAAAGCACUUAUGAUUGCACCCCCACACUGGGGAAGGAGAUUUCAAAAAAAGAAGAAAAAAAGAAGAAAAAAAGGAGAAAAUGCUACAAGUUGGGGAAUUUGACUCUACCAUUGAUAUUUGGUCUUCAAUAUCAAAAGAAACAGGGGCCAUCUACACUCCAAAUAAGGGAGUUUUCAAUUUUAUCAUUGACAUUGGGAUAUCAGUAUUGGUAAAAAAUAAAAAAUAAAAAAAUAAAAGGGAAAAGAGAGAAAAGAAAAAUGUGAAAAAAAUGAAAAAAAAUGAUGAAAGAAAAAAAAGAAAAAGAAAAAUGCGAAGACAUCCAACGCUGCAUUCCUCUUAGUGAUUGUUGAAGAAAAAAGAGGAUUGAUAAGAAAAAGGGAGUCAAAAUGGGGUCCCGGAUUUUAAAUCCAAAACUGGGGCAAUUUUUGUGAAAAAAGGUGAUUUUAAGUGCAUUGUCCUUGAAAGUUUUUUUCCUAGCUAUCGUUGUUAAACUACAUUACAUAGCCCAUAAAGUCCAUUGCUGACUUGUCUUUCAUGACAAUUUGAAGUGAAAAUCUUGCCUCUAAGGGAUCUACCAAUCACUCAUGAUCAGAAGGCCAUAACCUGUUUUCAUAUGUUUAGCUAUCGUUUCUACCCAUAUAUUACAAGCAUAUACAGCUUAUAUGUUGACUGAGUUUUCUUAGAAAAUAAAAGUGAUAAACUAUUUGCUUUCACCAAGAUGUGAUAUUGAAUGUGUUGGGUACAAUUUGGCAAAAAAAAAAAAAAAAAAAAAGACAAAUCCUAACAUACCAUUCCCCUGAGUCACCUCAAAAUCAUGAAUAAUACCCAUUUGGUUGGUUCUAAAAGAUGAACUAACAAGAAAGGGACCCCUUUUCCCUCAACACCGAUCCCAAAAUGAGGAAGAGAUCUUUUGCAAUUUGGUCCUAUUUUGAGAGAUUUAGCAUGGAAUCUUCUAUAUGAGUUUGGAUAUGACAUUUAAUUUUUUUCAUUUGAAAAAUAUAGUUUCUAUUCACAUUGCAUGUUAGUCUUCUAAAUUUUGAAAAAAAAAAAAACAGUUUUCUGGUUUUGUCUGGUUAAAUGGAGAACCAUUCGAUAAAAUUCUAUAAUAGGCCCAAAUUGGGGCAAAUUCUUUGUAAUAUAUUUGUGAGAUUUUUGUCAAAUAGGUUCAAAUUGAGGCAAAAUUUUACAAUGCAUUUGUAGGGUAUGUCCAAGGUCAAGUAUAUUUUUCAAAUUUUGAUAAGUCAACACUUGGCAUGAAUCUUAAUUGUUACA
rnacentral:lncRNA from 1 species